rnacentral:pre_miRNA from 2 species
AUGUAGGGCAAUCUGCUUUUAAGUAGGGAUAAAUGAAAUGAAUCCUAGAUAGUUUUCCCUUCAGGUCAAGUGUCUUGU